GUGCUCACUUCAGCAGAAUGGAUACUAAAACUGGAAUGAUACAAAGAUUACUAUGGUCCCCAUGCAAGGAUGGCAUGCAAAUUUGUGAAGUGUUCUGUGUUAAA
rnacentral:snRNA from 1 species